UUAAUGUCUAAACUUCCAGCUUCCUCUUUUUCUUUAAUUUGUGACAAUUUUCUGUCCUUCCUCAUAUAAUUUUCUUUUUUCCAGGCGGUCAGGCUCUGUGCCAAAUCAAGGGAAGCUGUCAGUUCUCCUGUCGAGCAUUUAACCCUUCAAUAUCAGGUUCGCCAUAUUGACACAUGUGAGAAGAGUGAACUGCACAAGUUACAGCAAUUGAAGGAUGAACAAGGAGAGUUCUCCACGAGUGAUGAGAAGAAGCAUAAAGCUUUGAAACGGGAAACGGAGAGGGAAUAGCUCAGAGUGUUGAUGUAAUUUGUUGCGCAUGUGUUGGUGCUGGAGAUCCUGGAUUGGCUAAUUUCAGAUUCCGCCAGGUACAAUAUCGUAUGCAUCCUGCUUUAUCUGAGAUUCCACCAAAUAGCUUUUAUGAAGUUACAUUCCAAACCAUCAAUGAAGGGCAAUCAACAUGCAUUGAUUUCCUGUGGCCUGUGCCCAACCGUCCCAUGUUCUUCUAUGUUCAGAUGGGACAAGAGGAGAUCAGUGCUAGUGGAAGCUGGAAGUUUAUAAAGAUAUUUUCUUGAAAAAGAGGAAGCUAGAAGCUUGAAUCACGCAUGCACUAUGUUGAUACAAAUUUGCUUCUAUUAAGAGUCCAAAUGAAUAGUGAGUGAUUUAUAAAGCAAGCUCCAACUAGCAUGGGAUUGAGGCAUAAUAGUUGUUGUAUACUUGUACUACAGUCAUAUACUUGUAAAAGCCAAUCUGAUAGUCCAACUAGUCUGAGCUCUAUUUAACUUAUUAAAUCUAUUAUUAAGGCAAUUAUUUU